AGCGAACGCUGGCGGCAGGCCUAACACAUGCAAGUCGAACGAAGUCUUCGGACUUAGUGGCGGACGGGUGAGUAACACGUGGGAACGUGCCUUUAGGUUCGGAAUAACUCAGGGAAACUUGUGCUAAUACCGAAUGUGCCCUUCGAGGGAAAGAUUUAUCGCCUUUAGAGCGGCCCGCGUCUGAUUAGCUAGUUGGUGAGGUAAAGGCUCACCAAGGCUACGAUCAGUAGCUGGUCUGAGAGGAUGACCAGCCACAUUGGGACUGAGACACGGCCCAAACUACUACGGGAGGCAGCAGUGGGGAAUCUUGCGCAAUGGGCGAAAGCCUGACGCAGCCAUGCCGCGUGGAUGAUGAAGGUCUUAGGAUUGUAAAAUCCUUUCACCGGUGAAGAUAAUGACUGUAGCCGGAGAAGAAGCCCCGGCUAACUUCGUGCCAGCAGCCGCCGUAAAAC
rnacentral:rRNA from 1 species